CCGCCCAUGUACUUCCUCCUGCAUGCAAGAUUACUAGCUAGGGACAGUAACCGAGUAGCGCAGGAGUUUGUGUUUGAUGCGAGUGAGACAGUGUAACGGGACCGGCGUGAGUUUACUGCACAUUACGGGUAACCCCGCUAGGCUGGUAACUGUACUGCUCGCCGCUUCCACGACAGGUAACGGAGGGAACAUAUCGUGACACACAGCAGGAAGAUCGAGAGAAUACAGUAACGCAGGGGACAGAGGAGGAAAAAAGUACAGAAGCGAGGUUGAAAGUGGGGUGGACCAGCACUGCUCUGCAUUGCCUUACAGCAACGACGCGCCACCUCAAACACUUCCCACGUUUCCAGGUCCUUAAAUAAAAUAACUUGAGCGCCACGUGUUGUAAGGGGAGACGAGUCCAUAGCACAGAGAAGUCUUGAAACUAACGCGCUCUCAAGUGGAUGCUCCACGCUGAACAGGGAGGGCGUGCUGGUAGUUCAAAGGAAAGGAGAUUUCCACUAGGAAGCUAAAGCCCGUGCAUUCGUAAACAGCUUUAAAA